rnacentral:rRNA from 1 species
AGCUGGCGGCGUGCUUACCAUGCAGUCGAACGAUGAACCACUUCGGUGGGGAUUAGUGGCGAACGGGUGAGUAACACGUGGGCAAUCUGCCCUGCACUCUGGGACAAGCCCUGGAAACGGGGUCUAAUACCGGAUACUGAUCUACUUGGGCAUCCAAGUGGUUCGAAAGCUCCGGCGGUGCAGGAUGAGCCCGCGGCCUAUCAGCUUGUUGGUGAGGUAACGGCUCACCAAGGCGACGACGGGUAGCCGGCCUGAGAGGGCGACCGGCCACACUGGGACUGAGACACGGCCCAGACUCCUACGGGAGGCAGCAGUGGGGAAUAUUGCACAAUGGGCGAAAGCCUGAUGCAGCGACGCCGCGUGAGGGAUGACGGCCUUCGGGUUGUAAACCUCUUUCAGCAGGGAAGAAGCGAAAGUGACGGUACCUGCAGAAGAAGCGCCGGCUAACUACGUGCCAGCAGCCGCGGUAAUACGUAGGGCGCAAGCGUUGUCCGGAAUUAUUGGGCGUAAAGAGCUCGUAGGCGGCUUGUCACGUCGGUUGUGAAAGCCCGGGGCUUAACCCCGGGUCUGCAGUCGAUACGGGCAGGCUAGAGUUCGGUAGGGGAGAUCGGAAUUCCUGGUGUAGCGGUGAAAUGCGCAGAUAUCAGGAGGAACACCGGUGGCGAAGGCGGAUCUCUGGGCCGAUACUGACGCUGAGGAGCGAAAGCGUGGGGAGCGAACAGGAUUAGAUACCCUGGUAGUCCACGCCGUAAACGGUGGGCACUAGGUGUGGGCAACAUUCCACGUUGUCCGUGCCGCAGCUAACGCAUUAAGUGCCCCGCCUGGGGAGUACGGCCGCAAGGC